rnacentral:rRNA from 1 species
UACGUAGGGGGCAAGCGUUGUCCGGAUUUAUUGGGCGUAAAGAGCGUGUAGGCGGUUAGGUAGGUCCGUUGUGAAAACUCGAGGCUCAACCUCGAGACGCCGAUGGAAACCAUCUGACUAGAGUCCGGAAGAGGAGAGUGGAAUUCCUGGUGUAGCGGUGAAAUGCGCAGAUAUCAGGAGGAACACCAAUGGCGAAGGCAGCACUCUGGGACGUGACUGACGCUGAGACGCGAAAGCGUGGGGAGCAAACAGG